UGAGGCCUUUGAACUCUGGAAGAUGAAUUUUCCUGACUCUAGGCCCAGCAUGCAAUUUGUUCUUGUUGGGUAUAAUAGGAUUUUUUCCCAACAGAUUUCCUUGUAUUGUUUGAUCCUGUUUACGCUUCUUACCAAAAGAUUUAUGGGUACUACAUAAAAGUUUCAAAUAAAUAGAGUUCUUUGUUCUCCAAAACUAUUUGAAUUAAAGAUUAUAUCAUUGUGGAUUGAAUUAGAAGAUCCAGGACUCUUGAAGAUUGAAAGUAGAGGAAAGUAAACACAUAUUUAGAGCACACACUGAAGCAUGUGCUGUCUUUUUUGUUCCCUUUCUGCUUUUGGCCUUAGCUAAUUGGAUUUCCUUAUAAUUUGUAUGUGACUUUAAGCUAUGUUGUGUAUCAUGUAAUAAUUACUAGUAAGAUACUGUACAAAUAAUAAUAAUAAUAAUUCAUUUGUUCUUUGCACAACAGGAAACAUCCGAGUACUUUGGAAUAUGCUCAUAAAGCAAAAAAUAUAAUGAAUAAGCAUGAAGUUAACCAGAAGCUCACCAAAAGGGCUCUUAGUAAGGUUGUAAAGCAAAGGUUGUGUUCUAUUCAAAUUGGAGAUCAUGGAAAAAAGUCGAUGGACCAAAGGCAGUAUAAGACAACCAGCUGACCUCCUUUCAUGAUGAAAUAACUAAUGACAAGGGGAGGCUGGUGGAACAGAGUGAAGAACUUCACGAUAUCAUGAAACAUGGCUGGAAUAAACUUAAUUGCUUCUUGCAGUAGGACAUGAAACUGGAUAUUCCAAAGGGAAGGUUCAACUCCACAGAAGAACUCGUACCCAUCUACACUGCUGAGAACUGAACCUUGGGAGCAACUCCUCAACCAGCUGAGAGAGAGAGCCCAACCUCUUAACAGUAAUUGUUAAAGCAGAAGACCUCAGUCAGGACUUAGAGGAAGAGAAAGCUGCUCUGGAGUUCAUUAUGAAAACAUCAUGAAUGAAGAACCAACAGAGGACACAAGUGUAUAUGAUCCUAUAAAUGGUGGUGUUCCUUCUUUCUAGGUAACUGAAUGUCACUGCCUCUGAUAUACAUAAUAUAUAAUUUAUUUCUUCUUCUAUUAAUCUGGGCAAUCUAUAUUUUUAUAGGUAAUC